rnacentral:rRNA from 1 species
UACAGAGGGGGCAAGCGUUGUUCGGAAUUACUGGGCGUAAAGAGCGUGUAGGCGGCCAGGUAGGUCCGUUGUGAAAACUCGAGGCUCAACCUCGAGACGUCGAUGGAAACCAUCUGGCUAGAGUCCGGAAGAGGAGAGUGGAAUUCCUGGUGUAGCGGUGAAAUGCGCAGAUAUCAGGAAGAACACCUAUGGCGAAGGCAGGUCUCUGGGCCGAUAUUGACGCUGAGGAGCGAAAGCGUGGGGAGCGAACAGG